AAGUGUCAGGAAAAGAAUUAAGUACUAUCAAGACUACCAUGCAUCCAAAAAGCUAUAUAUAAGGCUUUACAAAAUAAUCUGAAAUAAAUUUUACAUUUUUCAUUAUUAUUGAACAAAACAACAUGCUAAUGAAUGAACUUCUAUGUGCAUUUACAAAGUGCAUUUACUGUUGACACUGUUAGUUAUAUUUAAAUGAACGAAAAAUCAUUACACUGAACCAAAGUCUCUGUUGGAGUCAUUCUGAAAAUUUUGAGCCACUUUGCAUCAGCAGCUCCAUGCUCCAGUGCUCUGGGAGAGUUUAUAUUCCUGACAGUUGAACACUGGAUGACUGACAGCUGUCCUUCAUCACAACAGAAGACACAGAAAUCCUCCUCAUCACAAACAUGACUUUGAUCUGCGUCCUCAUCUGGACUCUCCUCUGCUGCUGCUUCACAGAGGUCAGAGGUCAGAUCACAGUAACUCAGCCUGCCGCAGUGAGAGCUGAUCUUGGAGGAUCUGCUACCAUCAACUGUAGAACCAGUCAGAAUGUUUAUAGCUCUAACUGCUUAGCCUGGUACCAACAGAAAGAUGGACAAACUCCUAAGCUCCUCAUUUAUUAUAUCAGCACUCGAGCAUCAGGGACUCCAAGUCGUUUUACAGGCAGUGGAUCAAACUCUGACUUCACUCUGACCAUCAGUGGAGUUCAGGCUGAAGAUGCUGCAGUUUACUACUGUCAGAGUUUUCAUUACCCCAACAGCCAGUAUGUGUUCACACAGUGAAAAACAGUCGUACAAAAACCUCCCUCAGUCAGUAUGAACAGA